AACGAACGCUGGCGGCAUGCCUAACACAUGCAAGUCGAACGAAGGCUUCGGCCUUAGUGGCGCACGGGUGAGUAACGCGUAGGAAACUGCCUAUUGGUGGGGAAUAACGACGGGAAACUGUCGCUAAUACCGCUUAAGCCCUUCGGGGGAAAGAUUUAUCGCCGAUAGAUGUGCCCGCGUCCGAUUAGCUAGUUGGUGAGGUAAUGGCUCACCAAGGCGACGAUCGGUAGCUGGCCUGAGAGGAUGAUCAGCCGCACUGGGACUGAGACACGGCCCAGACUCCUACGGGAGGCAGCAGUGGGGAAUAUUGGACAAUGGGCGAAAGCCUGAUCCAGCAAUGCCGCGUGAGUGAUGAAGGCCUUAGGGUUGUAAAGCUCUUUCGGGUGGGACGAUGAUGACGGUACCACCAGAAGAAGCCCCGGCUAACUUCGUGCCAGCCGCCGCCGUAA
rnacentral:rRNA from 1 species